rnacentral:piRNA from 1 species
CGGCCAAAGAAGGCUGACCGCCA